UAUACCUACGGGACGCAGCAGUGGGGAAUAUUGCACAGUGGGGGAAACCCUGAUGCAGCGACGCCGCGUGAGUGAAGAAGUAAUUCGUUAUGUAAAGCUCUAUCAGCAGGGAAGAAAAUGACGGUACCUGAGUAAGAAGCCCCGGCUAACUACGUGCCAGCAGCCGCGGUAAUACGUAGGGGGCAAGCGUUAUCCGGAUUUACUGGGUGUAAAGGGAGCGUAGACGGCAGGGCAAGUCUGG
rnacentral:rRNA from 1 species